AAUGUCUAGUCUGGUGGAGAGAGAGAGAACAGAGAGGUCAGUAAUAUCUAGUCUGGUGGAGAGAGAGAACAGAGAGGUGAGUAAUAUCUAGUCUGGUGGAGAGAGAGAACAGAGAGGUCAGUAAUAUCUAGUCUGGUGGAGAGAGAGAGAACAGAGAGGUCAGUAAUAUCUAGUCUGGUGGAGAGAGAGAACAGAGAGGUCAGUAAUAUCUAGUCUGGUGGAGAGAGAGAGAACAGAGAGGUCAGUAAUAUCUAGUCUGGUGGAGAGAGAACAGAGAGGUCAGUAAUAUCUAGUCUGGUGGAGAGAGAGAACAGAGAGGUCAGUAAUAUCUAGUCUGGUGGAGAGAGAGAACAGAGAGGUCAGUAAUAUCUAGUCUGGUGGAGAGAGAACAGAGAGGUCAGUAAUAUCUAGUCUGGUGGAGAGAGAGAACAGAGAGGUCAGUAAUAUCUAGUCUGGUGGAGAGAGAGAACAGAGAGGUCAGUAAUAUCUAGUCUGGUGGAGAGAGAACAGAGAGGUCAGUAAUAUCUAGUCUGGUGGAGAGAGAGAACAGAGAGGUCAGUAAUAUCUAGUCUGGUGGAGAGAGAGAGAACAGAGAGAUCAGUAAUAUCUAGUCUGGUGGAGAGAGAGAACAGAGAGGUCAGUAAUAUCUAGUCUGGUGGAGAGAGAGAACAGAGAGGUCAGUAAUAUCUAGUCUGGUGGAGAGAGAACAGAGAGGUCAGUAAUAUCUAGUCUGGUGGAGAGAGAACAGAGGUCAGUAAUAUCUAGUCUGGUGGAGAGAGAGAGAACAGAGAGGUCAGUAAUAUCUAGUCUGGUGGAGAGAGAGAGAACAGAGAGGUCAGUAAUAUCUAGUCUGGUGGAGAGAGAGAACAGAGAGGUCAGUAAUAUCUAGUCUGGUGGAGAGAGAGAACAGAGAGGUCAGUAAUAUCUAGUCUGGUGGAGAGAGAGAGAACAGAGAGGUCAGUAAUAUCUAGUCUGGUGGAGAGAGAGAGAACAGAGAGGUCAGUAAUAUCUAGUCUGGUGGAGAGAGAGAGAACAGAGAGGUCAGUAAUAUCUAGUCUGGUGGAGAGAGAGAGAACAGAGAGGUCAGUAAUAUCUAGUCUGGUGGAGAGAGAACAGAGAGGUCAGUAAUAUCUAGUCUGGUGGAGAGAGAGAACAGAGAGGUCAGUAAUAUCUAGUCUGGUGGAGAGAGAGAACAGAGAGGUCAGUAAUAUCUAGUCUGGUGGAGAGAGAACAGAGAGGUCAGUAAUAUCUAGUCUGGUGGAGAGAGAGAGAACAGAGAGGUCAGUAAUAUCUAGUCUGGUGGAGAGAGAACAGAGAGGUCAGUAAUAUCUAGUCUGGUGGAGAGAGAGAGAACAGAGAGGUCAGUAAUAUCUAGUCUGGUGGAGAGAGAGAACAGAGAGAUCAGUAAUAUCUAGUCUGGUGGAGAGAGAGAGAACAGAGAGGUCAGUAAUAUCUAGUCUGGUGGAGAGAGAGAGAACAGAGAGGUCAGUAAUAUUUAGUCUGGUGGAGAGAGAGAGAACAGAGGUCAGUAAUAUCUAGUCUGGUGGAGAGAGAGAGAACAGAGAGGUCAGUAAUAUCUAGUCUGGUGGAGAGAGAACAGAGAGGUCAGUAAUAUCUAGUCUGGUGGAGAGAGAACAGAGAGGUCAGUAAUAUCUAGUCUGGUGGAGAGAGAGAACAGAGAGGUCAGUAAUAUCUAGUCUGGUGGAGAGAGAGAGAACAGAGAGAUCAGUAAUAUCUAGUCUGGUGGAGAGAGAGAGAACAGAGAGGUCAGUAAUAUCUAGUCUGGUGGAGAGAGAACAGAGAGGUCAGUAAUAUCUAGUCUGGUGGAGAGAGAGAGAACAGAGAGGUCAGUAAUAUCUAGUCUGGUGGAGAGAGAACAGAGAGGUCAGUAAUAUCUAGUCUGGUGGAGAGAGAGAGAACAGAGAGGUCAGUAAUAUCUAGUCUGGUGGAGAGAGAGAGAACAGAGAGGUCAGUAAUAUCUAGUCUGGUGGAGAGAGAGAACAGAGAGGUCAGUAAUAUCUAGUCUGGUGGAGAGAGAACAGAGCUGGUCAGUAAUAUCUAGUCUGGUGGAGAGAGAGAACAGAGAGGUCAGUAAUAUCUAGUCUGGUGGAGAGAGAACAGAGAGGUCAGUAAUAUCUAGUCUGGUGGAGAGAGAGAGAACAGAGAGAUCAGUAAUAUCUAGUCUGGUGGAGAGAGAGAGAACAGAGAGAUCAGUAAUAUCUAGUCUGGUGGAGAGAGAGAGAACAGAGAGGUCAGUAAUAUCUAGAUGCGUAUCAGAGAAUCUGUGUUAAUGAUGCUUUUAGUCCUG